CAUCCUGCUCCUCCGAUGAGGAGGUGGCAGCAGCACUGCCUCCUGUAUGGACCAGGCCUCUCCCAGGCUUGCAUUCCCCCAUACUACCAGAGGAGGAAUCUGAGGAUGGGGAGUGGCCUGAGACUCCUCCACUACCAUCAACGCCUGUAGAAGAGGUAGACCUCCAAGGCCUCCAGGAGGGCGAGGGCCAAACAUGGUCUCCAGGACCCCCCAGCACUCCCGCUACUACCACCACCCGACCACCCACCCACCCACUUCAUGAUGCCGGCACAUCUGUACCGUCAAUAAUCCCACCACAGCCAGAAUCCGGCAAUCCACCUCCUCCCG